UUUUCAGCCGCCGCGGUAAUACGUAGGGGGCUAGCGUUGUCCGGAUUUAUUGGGCGUAAAGCGCGUGUAGGCGGCCAGAUAGGUCUGCUGUGAAAACUCGAGGCUCAACCUCGAGCUGUCGGCGGAAACCAUUUGGCUAGAGUCCGGAAGAGGAGAGUGGAAUUCCCGGUGUAGCGGUGAAAUGCGCAGAUAUCGGGAAGAACACCAGUGGCGAAGGCGGCUCUCUGGGACGGUACUGACGCUGAGACGCGAAAGCGUGGGGAGCAAACAGGAUUAGAAACCCCGGUAGUCC
rnacentral:rRNA from 1 species